rnacentral:rRNA from 1 species
ACUACGGGAGGCAGCAGUGGGGAAUAUUGCACAAUGGGGGAAACCCUGAUGCAGCAACGCCGCGUGAAGGAAGACGGUUUUCGGAUUGUAAACUUCUGUUCUUAGUGAAGAAUAAUGACGGUAGCUAAGGAGCAAGCCACGGCUAACUACGUGCCAGCAGCCGCGGGAAUACGUAGGUGGCAAGCGGUGUCCGGAAUUACUGGGUGUAGAGGGAGCGCAGGCGGGAAGCGAAGUCAGCUGUGAACACUACGGACUUAACUUGUAGACUGCAGUUGAAACUGGUUUUCUUGAGUGAAGUAGAGGUUGGCGGAAUUCCGAGUGUAGCGGUGAAAGGCGUAGAUAUUCGGAUGAAAACCGGUGGCGAAGGCGGCCAACUGGGCUUUAACUGACGCUGAGGCUCGAAAGUGUGGGGAGCAAACAGGAUUAGAUACCCCGGUAGUC